rnacentral:rRNA from 1 species
UACGUAGGGUGCGAGCGUUAAUCGGAAUUACUGGGCGUAAAGUGUGCGCAGGUGGCCGCGCAAAGUCGAGGUGUGAAAUCCCCGAGCUUAACUUGGGAAAUUGCGCCUCGAAACUACGUGGCUAGAGUGUGGCAGAGGGAGGUGGAAAUUCCACGUGUAGCGGUGAAAUGCGUAGAGAUGUGGAGGAACACCAAUGGCGAAGGCAGCCUCCUGGGCCAACACUGACACUCAUGUACGAAAGCGUGGGGAGCAAACAGG